AUUGAACGCUGGCGGCAUGCUUUACACAUGCAAGUCGAACGGUAACAGGGUGCUUGCACCGCUGACGAGUGGCGAACGGGUGAGUAAUGCGUCGGAACGUGCCGAGUAGUGGGGGAUAACGCAGCGAAAGUUGUGCUAAUACCGCAUACAUACUGAGGUAGAUAGUGGGGGACCUUCGGGCCUCGCGCUAUUCGAGCGGCCGACGUCUGAUUAGCUAGUAGGUGAGGUAAAGGCUCACCUAGGCGACGAUCAGUAGCGGGUCUGAGAGGAUGAUCCGCCACACUGGGACUGAGACAAGGCCCAGACUCCUACGGGAGGCAGCAGUGGGGAAUUUUGGACAAUGGGCGAAAGCCUGAUCCAGCCAUGCCGCGUGUCUGAAGAAGGCCUUCGGGUUGUAAAGGACUUUUGUCGGGGAGGAAAUCCCCAGCGUUAAUACCGCUGGGGGAUGACAGUACCUGAAGAAUAAGCACCGGCUAACUACGCGCCAGCCGCCGCAGUAAAAC
rnacentral:rRNA from 1 species